rnacentral:rRNA from 1 species
UGAUAAUCUGCCUUCAAGAGGCCGCGAUAACGACUGGAAACGGCCGCUAAUACCCCAUAUGCCUCCGGGUGAAACGUAAUUCGACUGAAGAUGAGCUCGCGUCAGAUUAGCUAGUUGGUGGGGUAAGAGCCUACCAAGGCGACGAUCUGUAGCUGGUAUGAGAGGAUGAUCAGCCACACUGGGACUGAGACACUGCCCAGACUCCUACGGGAGGCAGCUGUGGGGAAUUUUCCGCAAUGGGCGCAAGCCUGACGGAGCAAGACCGCGUGGGGCAUGACGGCCUAAUGGUUGUAAACCCCUUUUCUCUGGUAAGAAGACUGACGGUACCAGUAGGAUCAGCCUCGGCUAACUCCGUGCCGAGCAGCCGCGGUAAUACGGAGGAGGCCAAGCGUUAUCCGGAAUUAUUGGGCCGUAAAGCGUCCGUAGGUGGUUAUUCAAGUCUGCUGUCAUAGCGUGGGGCUUAACUCCAUAGAGGCAGUGGUAACUGAGUGACUAGAGUGCGGUAGGGGUCGAGGGAAUUCCCAGUGUAGCGGUGAAAUGCGUAGAUAUUGGGAAGAACAUCAGUGGCGAAAGCGCUCGACUGGGCCUGCACUGACACUGAGGGACGAAAGCUAGGGGAGCGAAUGGGAUUAGAUACCCCUGUAGUCCUAGCCGUAAUCGAUGGAUACUAGGUGUUGCUCGUCAUCGACUCGAGCAGUGCCGUAGCCAACGCGUUAAGUAUCCCGCCUGGGGAGUACGCUCGCAAGAGUGAUACUCAAAGGAAUUGACGGGGGCCCGCUCAAGCGGUGGAGUAUGUGGUUUAAUUCGAUGCAACGCGAAGAACCUUACCAGGGCUUGACAUGUCCGGAACCUUGCCGAGAGGUGAGGGUGCCUUCGGGAGCCGGAACACAGGUGGUGCAUGGCUGUCGUCAGCUCGUGUCGUGAGAUGUUGGGUUAAGUCCCGCAACGAGCGCAACCCACGUUCUUAUGUUGCCAGCAUUGAGUUGGGCACUCUAGGGAGACUGCCGGUGACAAUCCGGAGGAAGGUGUGGAUGACGUCAAGUCAGCAUGCCCCUUACGUCCUGGGCUACACACGUACUACAAUGCUGUGGACAAAGGGCAGCCAGCCAGCGAUGGUGAGCUAAUCCCAGAAAACACGGCUCA